UAAAUAAACUAUUGUAUUUAGUUUAGGCAUUUGGUAAGGAAUCUGCAUGGCUAUUUGAAAAUCCGGAUAAUUAUCUGUAUAUCUAUUAAAGCUUCGAAAAUAUCUUAUUUAUCUUGUUUUUACUUUUAUUUUUUUAUUUUUUUUUUGAGAGAGAUAGGUAGCGCUUCAUUUAUUUCAUUUAGAAAUAAACUUAGCAAGAAAUGUGAAUCAACUAAGAUUCGAAUUUGGGUCUCAGGUACCAACCAUCAAGUCUUUUCUCACUUGCUCUAAGGACGGUCGGUUAUUAUUUUUUCUUUUCAAUGUACUCUAUGUACGUUUCUUCGUUAUUCAAAAAUAUUCUUACAGUUACUAUUUGUUAAGUUAACUUGGGUUAAACGUGAGUUGAAUAUUUAUUAAAGUUAAAAAAAAAAUCAAAAUGCCUAUUUUGACCUUAACUUAAGGAUAAAUAAAAAAAUAUUGAUAAUGAUAAAAGUGCAUAUUUGAAAAAGUAAAAAAAUAAAAUAUUUAUUGUGUCGCUAACUUAAAGGCUUGUAAGAAAAAUCGAAAAUGGUAAAAAAAUAUAUAUUUAAAAUAAAUUAGAAAGUAAAAAAAAAAAUUUUUAGUAUUGGCUUCUAAAAAAGAUAAAUUAAAAAGUCGGAAAUAUUUCAAAAGUAUAUAAGCAAUUUUUCCUUGAAAAUAUAGAAAAAAAA
rnacentral:lncRNA from 1 species